AGAGUUUGAUCCUGGCUCAGGAUGAACGCUGGCGGCGUGCUUAACACAUGCAAGUCGAACGAAGCAUUUAAGGACGAUUCUUCGGAUGAGGACUUUUAUGACUGAGUGGCGGACGGGUGAGUAACGCGUGGGUAACCUGCCCUAUACAGGGGGAUAACAGUUAGAAAUGACUGCUAAUACCGCAUAAGCGCACUAGAACCGCAUGGUUCGGUGUGAAAAACUGAGGUGGUAUAGGAUGGACCCGCGUCUGAUUAGCUUGUUGGUGGGGUAACGGCCCACCUAACCGACGAUGCGUAGGGGUUCUGAGAGGAAGGUCCCCCACACUGGUACUGAGACACGGACCAGACUCCUACGGGAGGCAGCAGUGAGGAAUAUUGGUCAAUGGUCGGGAGACUGAACCAGCCAAGCCGCGUGAGGGAGGAAGGUACAGAGUAUCGUAAACCUCUUUUGUCAGGGAACAAAGACUGGGACGCGUCCCCGGAUGAGUGUACCUGAAGAAAAAGCAUCGGCUAACUCCGUGCCAGCAGCCGCGGUAAUACGGAGGAUGCGAGCGUUAUCCGGAUUUAUUGGGUUUAAAGGGUGCGCAGGCGGUCUGUUAAGUCAGCGGUCAAAGCCCGGGGCUCAACCCCGGCCCGCCGUUGAAACUGGCAGUCUCGAGUUGGAGAGAAGUAUGCGGAAUGCGCGGUGUAGCGGUGAAAUGCAUAGAUAUCGCGCAGAACUCCGAUUGCGAAGGCAGCAUGCCGGCUCCACACUGACGCUGAGGCACGAAAGCGUGGGUAUCGAACAGGAUUAGAUACCCUGGUAGUCCACGCAGUAAACGAUGAAUGCUGGCUGUCCGGGGGGACUGACCCCUGGGUGGCGAAGCGAAAGCGAUAAGCAUUCCACCUGGGGAGUACGCCGGCAACGGUGAAACUCAAAGGAAUUGACGGGGGCCCGCACAAGCGGAGGAACAUGUGGUUUAAUUCGAUGAUACGCGAGGAACCUUACCCGGGCUCAAACGGGGAGUGACUCAGGCAGAGACGCCUGUUUCCCACGGGACACUCCCCGAGGUGCUGCAUGGUUGUCGUCAGCUCGUGCCGUGAGGUGUCGGCUUAAGUGCCAUAACGAGCGCAACCCCCGCGUGCAGUUGCUAACAGAUAACGCUGAGGACUCUGCACGGACUGCCGGCGCAAGCCGCGAGGAAGGCGGGGAUGACGUCAAAUCAGCACGGCCCUUACGUCCGGGGCGACACACGUGUUACAAUGGGUGGUACAGCGGGAAGCCAGGCGGCGACGCCGAGCGGAACCCGAAAUCCACUCUCAGUUCGGAUCGGAGUCUGCAACCCGACUCCGUGAAGCUGGAUUCGCUAGUAAUCGCGCAUCAGCCAUGGCGCGGUGAAUACGUUCCCGGGCCUUGCACUCACCGCCCGUCAAG
rnacentral:rRNA from 1 species